ACCCCUGGUUGCUCCCCUACAGUGGAACAUGGGAUGUUUAUGUUACAGGAACUGGCAAGACAAAAACAAUAGAGGAAAUACAGAGAUCUUGGCUGAAAACCUCCUACAGAGCACUCCUGACAUUAAAUUGGAGUAUUGAUUUGAAAAACAUCGCCAGGAUUUUAAAAGAGUCGCUUUAGAACAUGAGAAUAUCCUGGAAUGGCCAAGCCUCAGUUUGGCUUUAAUUUGAUUGGAUAUGUCUGGAGAGAUCUGAACACGACUGUGCACAGAUGUCUACCAUCCAGCCUGAUGGAGCCUGGGAUUUACUGCAAAGAAGAUUGGGCAGAAAAGCGCUAAAGAAAGUGCUCCUAAUGGUGAUGUUCCGAAGUUCGCCUGCAGCUCACUUUGUGAGAUAUUUAUAUUUGUAUAUAGCCUAAAUAAACAUCUUAAACUGCUCUUUGUUCUCCGUCUGUCUGAAUGUGGGCCAAACACCUUAAAACCAUGACAACUUUCUAAUGAUCUGAUCCAACACAUCCACAUUGAGUGUGUAAUUAUAGUAGUGUUAGGAAUCCAGUCUGUGUGGGUUGUGUUUUUGUGUUUUUUCCCCCUGCACCACCAGGUGGUGCCCUGUUCUCGUUUGUCCUCCCACACACCUGUGGCUGGUUGGCUCAUUAUUGAGGACUUCUUAAGCGGUGGACUGCCACUACUUUGACGCCAGAGUGUUUGCCAGUUUGGGGAAGUCAUCCUGAAUUCUGGAUGUUUGGCCUUCCCCCCUGGAAGGAUCGUUUGUGCUUCACACUAAGCAGGGGACUCAUCACCACACGACCCGUUCAAGUUCUCCAGGAAAUAUAAAUGGCAGUCCGCCCAAUUGCUCCUUAGGAACCAACCAAACCAAAGACCUGUCUGCCCUCCAAUGAGCCCCUCAAUCUCUGGAAAAACCCACACUAACUGGAUUCAGGGAAGAAACCUUUCUCCGCAAUCAUCUCAGCCUGUUUGUGUACCGUACCUAGAACUGUGACCAGACUCCAUCCUGAAUUCCCUCUUGGCACUUCACUGGAUCUCUGACCUCUUGGCUAUGAAAACUGGGCACAACAUUGGCUUUGGCUUCGCCCUCUGGAUUAUCCUGAUUACAUUCCUCUGCUCAUUUCUGCUCUCCUGCUUGUCCUCUGACCACGAUACAUUAAAGUUUGGGACUCUCUGGGUGGGGCCCGCCACACUGCGUUGGCAGCCAAGCGGCUGGAACAACCCUCACCUUCUGGACUCGGACUGAACAAUACUACCAGGUCAGUGACUCACAUGUUCAUUAUCAUCCACUUCCAGAUAGAUGUGGUCACUAACCUGUGUUCUCCUCCUGCAGAAGUUCUUGACUUUGGCACCAAUGCUGCUCACUUUGGUUGAGUUUUCAAUGAACAUUUUGUCAGCCUUAAAUACUGGAUCCUGCUGUUCUGGACCUAACAUAUGUACGGGGGAUUGUGGAACCAAUAGUCUUGCUCAGAAACACAGUCUGUGGGAUUUUAACCAAGCAAUUCACACUCUGAAUAUGCAAACAUGCUAUUCUAAUGACAAGGGCAGCCACUAAUGCUCCAUAUUGAAUCUUUUUACUCAAUAAUGGGAAGAAGACAUCAUCAGCGAUAUCUUUAAAAUAAUAUGUAUAUCAGUCUUUGAUCAUUUGUAUCUAUUUUGGUUGAAAUUUGUAUAUAAUGCAUCAGAUAGUAAAAGUAACUAGAGGAUUCAUAAUGAAUUAGUUAGAAAAUUUACAUUUAUGUGAUUUAGGCACUUAUCUGAAAACACAUGACAGUACUUUCACAUAAAAUAUCCUUAGAAUUUUUGUUUUGUUUUAUCAAUAUCAGUAUGCUUGUACCAAUUAAUUGAUCUUUGUAAUUUUUACUAAAAUACAUGAAUAUUGAUAAAAGGCAAUUCACAAUGCUUCACUUCUCUGCAAUUUCAUUUAAUGCAUACAUACAAAAAAAUAUGUGUUUAAAAAAAAAGUCCUUUUUUAAGCACAACUCCAAUUGGUUUCUAUUAAUUCAAUUCAAAAUCAGUUUGAGUUUGUUAAAUUGCAAUUGUUUCUGUAUAACAGGCGUUUAAAUUGCAUUUAUAUACUGCAGUUAAUGAUACUGGCAUCUAAUGGUAGAAAGUAGCAU